UUUUUUUUAAUCUGCCUGUGUUAAGUGUGAUGCCAUGUGGGAUAAAAUAUGUGUAUAUAUUAGCUAUAUGUUUUUGUUGUUGAAUUGUGUUGAUUUCCUGUCAUGAGCACACUGAAGCAAAGUCCAACUUGCACUGAGUUGUAUGGCAAUAAAGUAUUGAAUCUUGAAUCUUGAAUCUCACGAACAAGACCCCAAGGUAUUUAAACUCCUUCACUUGGGGUAAAAAAUCUGUCCCUACCUGGAAUAAAGUGUGUGUGUGUGUGUGUGUGUGUGUGUGUGUGUGUUGGGCUGCAGCCUCAUGGCUACAUCUAGUGGACUGAUACUAGAACUACAACACCAGAUAACAGUUUCCUCUGACUGCAUUCACUGACACUGAUGGGAAAGAGACAAGAAGAGACAAUGAGUAGAGGAGCAGCAGGAGAAAUUAUGUUGUGUUUCCUCUGCAGAUGAAAGACUGAGAUCGGCAGCGUAGAUCAGUGUGAGGACAAAGAAACCCCUCCGUGUGGAGAACAGGACAGCCAGACAAAAGCUCAAAGCCUUUAUUUUUAACAGGACAGUGAAGAAAUGAAAGGGCAGAGAGAGGGGGACAACACGCAGCGAAGGAUGGCAGGUCGGAGCGGAUCUCGGGCUCGCCACACCCAGAAGGAAACCUCUAUAAAUCGCCGCCCGCCUUACCAACCGAGCUAUCCAGGCGCCAAAUUGCACUUGCAGCCACAAUACUACUCUCAGUAAUAGCAGUAAUAGCAUGGGCAGUAGGUGCAGUAAGAACUGUGGGUGAAGCAGUAAUAGCCACAACACUAUUGGCAGUAAUAGCAGUAAUAGCAGGGGCAGUAGGUGCAGUAGGAACUGUGGGUGCAGCAGUGAUAGCAGGGGCAGUAGGUGCAGUAGGAACUGCGGGUGCAGCAGUAAUGGCAGGGGCAGUAGGUGCAGUAGGAACUGCGGGUGCAGCAGUAAUUGCAGUAAUAGCAGGGGCAGUAGGUGCAGUAGGAACUGUGGGUGCAGCAGUAAUAGCAGGGGCAAUAGGUGCAGUAGGAACUGUGUGUGCAGCAGUGAUAGCAGGGGCAGUAGGUGCAGUAGGAACUGCGGGUGCAGCAGUAAUGGCAGGGGCAGUAGGUGCAGUAGGAACUGCGGGUACAGCAGUAAUUGCAGUAAUAGCAGGGGCAGUAGGUGCAGUAGGAACUGUGUGUGCAGCAGUGAUAGCAGGGGCAGUAGGUGCAGUAGGACCUGUGGGUGCAGCAGUAAUAGCAGUAAUAGCAGGGACAGUAGGUGCAGUAGGAACAGGAAUUACAGCAAAAACAGUAGCAGCUUUAGCCUUGGGGGCAGGAGUAGUAGGAGUAGCAAGAGUAUGGGUUGUAAAAAAAAUGUAUAUCAAUUGACAGAUUUUUUAAAGGGCCUGCCACUUGGAACCAUAUUGCUGUUUGUUGCAUUCUGCUCAUUGCUGCUGGUAUCAUUUUUUUACCAUGUGCCCUUUGCUGGGACCCUGCUCUUACUUUUGGGGCUAUUACUAAUGUUCUUGUUGUUAGUGUUAUUUUUCUUGCUGUUAUAGGAACAUGUACCUAUACAACCCAGUCUCAUGGCAGUUUGUGAAAUGGUGACGUUAUUUAAUCUAUUGAUUCGUGUAUACCGACACGUUUAUGUAGUUU